GUGAGGAAUAUUGCGCAAUGGAGGCAACUCUGACGCAGCCAUGCCGCGUGCAGGAAGAAGGCGCUAUGCGUUGUAAACUGCUUUUAACCGGGAAGUAACCCCAGGACGUGUCCUGGGUUGACGGUACCGGAGGGAUAAGCACCGGCUAACUUCGUGCCAGCAGCCGCGGUAAUACGAAGGGUGCAAGCGUUAUCCGGACUCAUUGGGUUUAAAGGGUGCGUAGGCGGAGCGUUAAGUCAGUGGUGAAAGCCUGCGGCUUAACUGUGGAAUUGCCAUUAAUACUGGAGCGCUUGAGUGCACUUGAGGUGGGCGGAAUGCGGAGUGUAGCGGUGAAAUGCUUAGAUAUUGCACAGAACACCAGUUGCGAAGGCAGCUCACUGAGGCGAUAUUGACGCUGAGGCGCGAAAGCGUGGGGAUCGAACAGGAUUAGAAACCCCAGUAGUCC
rnacentral:rRNA from 1 species